UUUAUGUAAAUCUCAUUAAUUCCAUCUCUUGAUGUAAUUUGCUCCUAAGAGUAAGGUUUCCAUCCACCUCCCUGAAAUCUGAUUUGGACCCCCAGGAGGCCAGAAGAGUAUAAAAACGCAAAAGAUGUUGACUUCUGAGUCCCACAUACCCGGCGUCAGCUGGUGGAUGAAAGACGCGAAGGAGCUGCUGUGGAGCUGCUGUCUCCCCUCGGAGUUUGGCAGGCCCGGGAUUCCGCAAAGGAGGCGACGGGGCCAGAUGCCUCCAGCCCUGAGCUCAGUACAUUCGGUGUCCUGGAUGCUCCCUUCCUUUCCUUACCACUGCGAGCUCUCCUGGGACGGCCUAGAUUUCCACUGGGACCUACUUUCCGCUCCCUGCGUGCUUCUUUGCUGAAACUGCCGGCGAAAAGAUCUCUUUCCCAAGCCUCAGAGCACCUUGAGGCCGGGCGCAGAGUCGCCCGCUCUGGAUCCCGCGCCAGAGACCCAGGAGGAUCCGCAGGAGCCCUCGGGAGAGCAGGAGGCUGCAUAGGGUCUCAACGUACUCCCGUCCCCGCAGCCUGCCUCGCAACUCGUCCCUCGCUCGGUAGGCAGACAACUCCAGCCGGACAGGUCCGUCUGAGGAGACCUUUCAGAGUGUCAGCCUACUGCUGACCUCGGAGCCACCAACCAAAGUUCCAAGACUGCUGGCUGCAGAUUGCAUGCGCUUGGGACAGACGCCCUAAGAAUGUGUCCACCGAGUCCAAUGUGUCUUCGGAGUCCUGAGCCCUGAGAUUUCCGCUAAGACCUUCCAUUGGACGAUCUCUUGUAACAGGUGUUCUUACAGUAACACGUGAGUUCGCUCAAACGCGAUGGAAGAAGUUUCGCCUUUCGAUCACUUUGUGCCUUUUUCUUUCCCCUUCUCAAUAAAAUCGUACACAAAUGUGAAA
rnacentral:lncRNA from 1 species